AGUGAUCAGCAAGAACUGCAAAAUCGGAGUCACCUCCUGAACUUCCAUCCCAGAUGAUGUCCCAUACUUCAUCCUGGGAGUUGGCUCUAAACUUGCUAACAAUCUGUUCUUGGAGCUUGCAGACUGCACCUCUCUUGGAAGUAGUGUUUGAAGACAAGAAGAUUUACAUGAAAUCUUGGAGAAAUGUAAAGGGAAAGAGCUUUACUGAAGAAACUCAUGAUGAAUAAAAGAAUGAUAACCAUUGUCUAAUUUGAAUCCACAUGUUAAAUUCCUGCAUCAACACUUUUUUCAGCUGAUGACCUUGGAUUUCAUUAUAUCCAUUUAUUCUUCGGAAAAUUGGUUUACAAAACUCUCUGUAAUCAAUUUUAAAAAGACAAUUUCAUUUUAAACACAUUACUGCAGUGAGAAGUCAUCACAAUAAUGCCCUAUAUUCUCUCGUGUACUUAUGAUGGUUAUAAAGUACUUUUUUCCCCCCUAGUACUGGAUCAUUCAAGGAGACAUGUAUGUUUACC